rnacentral:lncRNA from 1 species
CUUUUCAGUAUUCAAAUAAUUGUUUUGUACACUACUUUGUAAUGUUUUUCACUGAAAGCGUAGCACUGAGGUGAAUUUUCCGGAAUUUGCCGAGUAUCACCGGAAUGCCAUGUGAUAACGUUACGGAAAGGCAUGUGAUAACAAUCGAAGCAUGUGAUAAACUUUUCAUAUCAGCCCGCUAAGCACCAAUUCGAAAAAUAUGGAAAAUACUUUAAUUUAAUGCUAUUAUCAUACGGUAAAAAUCAUAUGUUAUUUAGUCUAAGUAUAUGAUAAAGCUUUAUAUUC